rnacentral:rRNA from 1 species
UGGGGAAUAUUGCACAAUGGGCGCAAGCCUGAUGCAGCCAUGCCGCGUGUAGGAAGAAGGCCUUCGGGUUGUAAAGUACUUUCAGCGGGGAGGAAGGGAGUAAAGUUAAUACCUUUGCUCAUUGACGUUACCCGCAGAAGAAGCACCGGCUAACUCCGUGCCAGCAGCCGCGGUAAUACGGAGGGUGCAAGCGUGAAUCGGAAUUACUGGGCGUAAAGCGCACGCAGGCGGUUUGUUAAGUCAGAUGUGAAAUCCCCGGGCUCAACCUGGGAGCUGCAUCGGAUACUGGCAAGCUUGAGUCUCGUAGAGGGGGGUAGAAUUCCAGGUGUAGCGGUGAACUGCGUAGAGAUCUGGAGUAAUACCGGUGGCGAAGGCGGCCCCCUGGACGAAGACUGACGCUCAGGUGCGAAAGCGUGGGGAGCAAACGGG